AUCUUAGACAAUGGGCGCAAGCCUGAUCUAGCCAUGCCGCGUGGACGAUGAAGGCCUUAGGGUUGUAAAGUCCUUUCGCUGGGGAUGAUAAUGACAGUACCGGGAGAAUAAGCUCCGGCUAACUCCGUGCCAGCAGCCGCGGUAAUACGGAGGGAGCUAGCGUUGUUCGGAAUUACUGGGCGUAAAGCGCACGUAGGCGGCUUUGUAAGUUAGAGGUGAAAGCCCGGGGCUCAACCCCGGAAUUGCCUUUAAGACUGCAUCGCUUGAAUCCAGGAGAGGUGAGUGGAAUUCCGAGUGUAGAGGUGAAAUUCGUAGAUAUUCGGAAGAACACCAGUGGCGAAGGCGGCUCACUGGACUGGUAUUGACGCUGAGGUGCGAAAGCGUGGGGAGCAAACAGG
rnacentral:rRNA from 1 species